CGCAUCUCCGUGUCUGCAGCCUCCAAGCUACUUUCCAACAUGAUGCUCCAGUACCGGGGUAUGGGCCUCUCCAUGGGCAGCAUGAUCUGCGGCUGGGACAAGAAGGGACCGGGACUUUAUUACGUAGAUGACAAUGGGACUCGGCUCUCGGGACAGAUGUUCUCCACAGGCAGCGGGAACACCUAUGCCUCUGGGGUGAUGGACAGUGGUACUGGCAGGAUCUCAGUCCUGAGGAGGCCUACGACCUUGCCCGAAGAGCUAUUGUUUAUGCUACCCACAGAGACAGCUAUUCUGGAGGAGUUGUCAACAUGUACCACAUGAAGAAAGACGGUUGGGUGAAAGUGGAGAGCACUGACGUCAGUGACCUGCUGCACAAGUACCGAGAGGCCACUCCAUGAUCACUGCUGGGCAGACCUCCUCCCGGCCCUGAGGAGCUGGCAGACUCAGGGACCUGGGACUACUUCAGUCUUAGGAGAAAGACGGGCCCAACCUGGGCUGGAGACAAAGCUCUGAGGCUAUGGAGACAUCUUUGUUUACCCUCUCACUCAGCCAGCCCUCAUGGAUACUUUCUAAGUACAAUAAAAGAAAAACAGUUCUACA